UACGUAGGGGGCAAGCGUUGUCCGGAUUUAUUGGGUGUAAAGAGCGUGUAGGCGGCUUGGUAGGUCCGCUGUGAAAACUCGAGGCUCAACCUCGAGAUGUCGGCGGAAACCACUUGGCUAGAGUCCGGAAGAGGAGAGUGGAAUUCCUGGUGUAGCGGUGAAAUGCGCAGAUAUCAGGAAGAACACCUAUGGCGAAGGCAGCUCUCUGGGACGGUACUGACGCUGAGACGCGAAAGCGUGGGGAGCGAACAGG
rnacentral:rRNA from 1 species